AAGGAUUAGCGGCGGACGGGUGAGUAACACGUGAGUAACCUGCCUUUGACACAGGGAUAGCCUCGGGAAACUGGGAUUAAUACCUGAUGACAUCAUUAGAUCGCAUGGUUUAAUGAUUAAAAUGAUUUAGUGGUCAAAGAUGGACUCGCGUCUGAUUAGCUAGUUGGUGAGAUAAAAGCUCACCAAGGCAACGAUCAGUAACCGGCCUGAGAGGGUGAACGGUCACAUUGGAACUGAGACACGGUCCAAACUCCUACGGGAGGCAGCAGUGGGGAAUAUUGCACAAUGGAGGAAACUCUGAUGCAGCGACGCCGCGUGAGCGAUGAAGGUUUUCGAAUCGUAAAGCUCUGUCCCAUGGGAAGAUAAUGACGGUACCAUGGGAGGAAGCCCCGGCUAACUACGUGCCAGCAGCCGCGGUAAUACGUAGGGGGCUAGCGUUGUCCGGAAUUACUGGGCGUAAAGGGUUCGCAGGCGGAAAUAUAAGUCAGGUGUAAAAGGCGGAGGCUCAACCUCCGUAAGCAUUUGAAACUAUAUUUCUUGAGAUAUGGAGAGGCAAGUGGAAUUCCUAGUGUAGCGGUGAAAUGCGUAGAUAUUAGGAGGAAUACCAGUGGCGAAGGCGACUUGCUGGACAUAUACUGACGCUGAGGAACGAAAGCAUGGGUAGCAAACAGGAUUAGAUACCCUGGUAGUCCAUGCUGUA
rnacentral:rRNA from 1 species